GAGAGUUUGGUGAAUAUGGAAGAACACAAAGAAGGAAUAAGUCAAGGGGUAGAUCAAAAUCUAGAGCUAAGAAGGCAAGUUGUAAUGAAUGUAAGGUGUAAGGUCAUUUUAAGAGAGAUUGUCCAAAUUUGAGAGGAAAAAAGAGAAAGAAGUACGAGAAUUCUACUAAUUUAGUUGAUGAUAACAAUUAUGAUGAUAGUGAUAACAUU
rnacentral:lncRNA from 1 species